rnacentral:rRNA from 1 species
UACGGAGGGGGCUAGCGUUGUUCGGAAUUACUGGGCGUAAAGCGCGCGUAGGCGGCUUAGCAAGUUAGAGGUGAAAGCCCGGAGCUUAACUCCGGAAUUGCCUUUAAAACUGCAAGGCUAGAAUCAUGGAGAGGUGAGUGGAAUUCCGAGUGUAGAGGUGAAAAUUCGUAGAUAUUCGGAAGAACACCAGUGGCGAAGGCGACUCACUGGACAUGUAUUGACGCUGAGGUGCGAAAGCGUGGGGAGCAAACAGGG